UACAGAGGGGGCAAGCGUUGUUCGGAAUUACUGGGCGUAAAGGGCGCGUAGGCGGCCGCCUAAGUCAGACGUGAAAUCCCUCGGCUCAACCGGGGAACUGCGUCUGAUACUGGGUGGCUUGAAUCCGGGAGAGGGAUGCGGAAUUCCAGGUGUAGCGGUGAAAUGCGUAGAUAUCUGGAGGAACACCGGUGGCGAAGGCGGCAUUCUGGACUGUAACUGACACUGAGGAACGAAAGCCAGGGGAGCAAACGGG
rnacentral:rRNA from 1 species